CUGCUCAUUCGCACAAGUGACCAGUCCCCGAGCGUGGCCAAGGCUGCCCAGGAAGCGCUCCUUGCUGCAGCAAAGCUGCUCAAGUGGAGGGAGCUGAAAGAGCUGGUGAAGAAGCAGCAGAUGUGGAGGAUUGGCGAGUGCUUGCUGGGGAAGGACAGGAGCAGGGCUGAAGAGUACCUGCGUCAGGGCCUGAGCUACCUCAAGGACCCUGAGCCCAGUGUGCGAGAGGCGGCCAUCAGGUUCAUCGGGGUGGCCACGCGGCACCUGAGGAACCGAAGCAAAGAGCAGCUGGAUGAGAUCUGCAGUG